GAGUUUGAUCCUGGCUCAGAUUGAACGCUGGCGGCAGGCUUAACACAUGCAAGUCGAACGGUAACAUGAGUGCUUGCACUUGAUGACGAGUGGCGGACGGGUGAGUAAGGUAUGGGGAUCUGCCGAAUGGAGGGGGACAACAGUUGGAAACGACUGCUAAUACCGCAUAAAGUUGAGAGACCAAAGCAUGGGACCUUCGGGCCAUGCGCCAUUUGAUGAACCCAUAUGGGAUUAGCUAGUUGGUAGGGUAAAGGCUUACCAAGGCGACGAUCUCUAGCUGGUCUGAGAGGAUGACCAGCCACACUGGAACUGAGACACGGUCCAGACUCCUACGGGAGGCAGCAGUGGGGAAUAUUGCACAAUGGGGGAAACCCUGAUGCAGCCAUGCCGCGUGUAUGAAGAAGGCCUUCGGGUUGUAAAGUACUUUCGGUAAUGAGGAAGGUGGUGUAUCUAAUAGGUGCAUCAAUUGACGUUAAUUACAGAAGAAGCACCGGCUAACUCCGUGCCAGCAGCCGCGGUAAUACGGAGGGUGCGAGCGUUAAUCGGAAUGACUGGGCGUAAAGGGCAUGUAGGCGGAUAAUUAAGUUAGGUGUGAAAGCCCUGGGCUCAACCUAGGAAUCGCACUUAAAACUGGUUAACUAGAGUAUUGUAGAGGAAGGUAGAAUUCCACGUGUAGCGGUGAAAUGCGUAGAGAUGUGGAGGAAUACCGGUGGCGAAGGCGGCCUUCUGGACAGAUACUGACGCUGAGAUGCGAAAGCGUGGGGAGCAAACAGGAUUAGAUACCCUGGUAGUCCACGCUGUAAACGAUGUCGAUUUGGAGUUUGUUGCCUUGAGUGAUGGGCUCCGAAGCUAACGCGAUAAAUCGACCGCCUGGGGAGUACGGCCGCAAGGUUAAAACUCAAAUGAAUUGACGGGGGCCCGCACAAGCGGUGGAGCAUGUGGUUUAAUUCGAUGCAACGCGAAGAACCUUACCUGGUCUUGACAUCCACAGAACCUUGCAGAGAUGCGGGAGUGCCUUCGGGAGCUGUGAGACAGGUGCUGCAUGGCUGUCGUCAGCUCGUGUUGUGAAGUGUUGGGUUAAGUCCCGCAACGAGCGCAACCCUUAUCCUUUGUUGCCAUCGGUUUGGCCGGGAACUCAAAGGAGACUGCCGUUGAUAAAGCGGAGGAAGGUGGGGACGACGUCAAGUCAUCAUGGCCCUUACGACCAGGGCUACACACGUGCUACAAUGGCGUAUACAAAGGGAGGCGA
rnacentral:rRNA from 1 species